GAUGAACGCUGGCGGCGUGCCUAAUACAUGCAAGUCGAGCGAACAGACGAGGAGCUUGCUCCUCUGACGUUAGCGGCGGACGGGUGAGUAACACGUGGAUAACCUACCUAUAAGACUGGGAUAACUUCGGGAAACCGGAGCUAAUACCGGAUAAUAUACUGAACCGCAUGGUUCAAUAGUGAAAGACGGUUUUGCUGUCACUUAUAGAUGGAUCCGCGCCGCAUUAGCUAGUUGGUAAGGUAACGGCUUACCAAGGCAACGAUGCGUAGCCGACCUGAGAGGGUGAUCGGCCACACUGGAACUGAGACACGGUCCAGACUCCUACGGGAGGCAGCAGUAGGGAAUCUUCCGCAAAGGGCGAAAGCUUGACGGAGCAACGCCGCGUGAGUGAUGAAGGUCUUCGGAUCGUAAAACUCUGUUAUUAGGGAAGAACAAAUGUGUAAGUAACUAUGCACGUCUUGACGGUACCUAAUCAGAAAGCCACGGCUAACUACGUG
rnacentral:rRNA from 1 species